UAAUUUUUCAUUUUGCACAUCGGGCUAGUUGGUGUUCCAUGAUGUAACUUCUUAGCCCGUAAACAAAGGACGAGACAAAAGGAAAACGA
rnacentral:lncRNA from 1 species